UACGUAGGGUGCAAGCGUUAAUCGGAAUUACUGGGCGUAAAGCGCACGUAGGCGGCUUUGUAAGUUAGAGGUGAAAGCCCGGGGCUCAACUCCGGAAUUGCCUUUAAGACUGCAUCGCUAGAAUUGUGGAGAGGUAAGUGGAAUUCCGAGUGUAGGGGUGAAAUUCGUAGAUAUUCGGAAGAACACCAGUGGCGAAGGCGACUUACUGGACACAUAUUGACGCUGAGGUGCGAAAGCGUGGGGAGCAAACAGG
rnacentral:rRNA from 1 species